AGGUUUCAAGGCUAGAUCUCAGAGUUUCUGGAAGAGUGAAGAGAAUGCCUGACCACACAUAAGAUGGAGGGGAGAUGGCGUCUGGAGUUGGUUCCUGCCAGUGGGUUCAUGUUCUCGCUGACUUCAAGAAUGAAGCUGCGGACCUUCUCGUCCCAAGGCACAAGACCACUUGUGCCAGCAGCAUGCUUCAGCAAGAUGGUAGAAGCAGGAAGAGAGCUGGCCAGAAGACACAUACCCCCUGGAAAUGGAGAGAGUCCUUCGGUGUACCACGUAGCAGUUACGUCAGACUGGGACACUUACUGUUUACAGGAGACUACAAAACCCUAGCCCCAUCCUCACUUGAGGCUGAUGGCAUUUUGGGCCUCAGCCCGUCUGCACCCAGGCGCUCAUUAAAACAGCGUGUUGCUCCACUCCACCUUGUGUUGUUUGUUGGCGCGUUCUUGGGGUUCGAACCAAUACAAGAGCCUUGCAGUAGGUAAUAGAAAUGCAACAGAAAAGCCAACUAGCUGAGGUGGGUCAAGAGAAAAAACAGUGAGCGUGGGUCCUUGCUGACAUGGAGCUGGGAGUGCACUCUGGAGAGAGCUCUCCUGCAGAUUCUUAUCAAGUAAGCAAUAAAAUAACCGUAUGGUCUACGCUCCUGGAGCUGAGACUUUGUACUCCUUGCUGUUGAAAACAGU
rnacentral:lncRNA from 1 species